UACGAAGGGGGCUAGCGUUGCUCGGAAUUACUGGGCGUAAAGGGCGCGUAGGCGGAUAGUUUAGCCAGAGGUGAAAGCCCAGGGCUCAACCUUGGAAUUGCCUUUGAUACUGGCUAUCUUGAGUUCGGGAGAGGUGAGUGGAAUGCCGAGUGUAGAGGUGAAAUUCGUAGAUAUUCGGCGGAACACCAGUGGCGAAGGCGACUCACUGGCCCGAUACUGACGCUGAGGCGCGAAAGCGUGGGGAGCGAUCCGG
rnacentral:rRNA from 1 species